rnacentral:pre_miRNA from 1 species
UCCAACAAGUCUCCAUUUAUCUGCAUUUGCACCUGCACCUCUUUCUCUACACUUCCAGCAGCCAGGGAGAUGAACAACAUUCUCCAUGGACGGUUGCCGAAAUCUUGUUGGUUGGACGGGGAGAGGUGCAGAUGCAGGUGCAGACAAAUGGCCUCUUGGU